AUUGAACGCUGGCGGCAUGCCUUACACAUGCAAGUCGAACGGCAGCACGGGUGCUUGCACCUGGUGGCGAGUGGCGAACGGGUGAGUAAUACAUCGGAACAUGUCCUGUAGUGGGGGAUAGCCCGGCGAAAGCCGGAUUAAUACCGCAUACGAUCCACGGAUGAAAGCGGGGGACCUUCGGGCCUCGCGCUAUAGGGUUGGCCGAUGGCUGAUUAGCUAGUUGGUGGGGUAAAGGCCUACCAAGGCGACGAUCAGUAGCUGGUCUGAGAGGACGACCAGCCACACUGGGCCUGAGACACGGCCCAGACUCCUACGGGAGGCAGCAGUGGGGAAUUUUGGACAAUGGGCGAAAGCCUGAUCCAGCAAUGCCGCGUGUGUGAAGAAGGCCUUCGGGUUGUAAAGCACUUUUGUCCGGAAAGAAAUCCUUGACUCUAAUACAGUCGGGGGAUGACGGUACCGGAAGAAUAAGCACCGGCUAACUACGU
rnacentral:rRNA from 1 species